UCUGCACUUUAUUCUACUCAUUUCCUGACUAAAGGCUCACAGCUCUACGUCGACUUAAAGCCGUGAAAACAGCUCUCAAAGAUCAUGGCUUCAGUGGAGGUCGAAUACUGUAGCGGAUGAGGUUACUCAUACCGUUACGGGCAACUAGCCGAAGCAAUUCGGCAGGUUCCUGGAGUGAAGGAGGUGACCGGGAGGGUCGGGAGGCAGAACAGCUUUGAGAUUUCUGUGAACGGCCAGCUGAUCUACUCCAAGCUCAAGACGGGAAAAAUCCCUCCUCCGGAUGAGGUCGUGAAAUUGAUCAAGAAUGUCUUGAACAAAUGAGGACACCGUUAAAAGCUGGAGGUUAAAGCACUGCCUGUAUUCACACUGCAAGGUCAAUGGUUUGUUUUUUGAAUGGCUACUUUCUCUCACAACUGCUUAUUUGAGCACAAAAGGAAAUUCAAACAAGAAAACAAGACAAGAAAAACAAUCCUAAAAAUAUGAUUGGGAAAAAUUAAAACAAAGACAAAUGAGUUUUACCGUCAGCCAUCAGACCAUUUAUCUUCACUGUGAAUACAGGCAAGCGAUGAUAAGAGCAACUCUGAAGAUCUGGGCGCUGAUCUUUACUUCUUUUUAUGAAUGAACACAUGAAAAAAUAAUGCCGUGUGUUCACGAUGCAAGUCAAGAAGCUGUUCAGCUGCCUGGAGCCUGAGGAACUGCUCUCUUCAAAAACAUCACACGUACACUUACUCAGGAAUGGGAACAAAUGAAAUUGUUACUCAAACCACACAUGUUACCAAUAUAAAGGAAUAUUUUGACAUUUUUGGAAAUUUGCUCAUUUGCUUCCUUGCCAAGGGUUAGCCAAAUGAGACGAUUGCUACCACUUUUAUGUUUGAAUGUUAAUAUGAAGCUACGGCUAACGUUUGGUUAGCUUGUCUUAGCCUUAUGUCCCGAACCAAGGGGAUACAUCUAGCCUGGCUCCUGUCAAUCAAAGCGGCCUACCAGCACUUCUGAAGCUCACUAAUGAACAUCUGUUUUGUUUGAUCCAUGCAAAAACCAGAGUGUAAAAACAGCAAUUUGCUGUUUGAUGGUGGGGUUAUAUGCCGGACUGUUUCAUUGCCUGGCCCCCUAGCAGAGACUUACGGGUCCAGGCAAUGAAACAGUCCGGCACACAACAUCGUGAAAUAGUGAAUUGUCAUUUCUACACUUUUGGUUUUUGUGUGGAUCAAACAAGGCAUAAUGUAAGAUGUUUAGUUUUGUGAACUUUAGAGGUUCUGGUAGGCAGGUUUGUUAAGUCUGAACGGUCUGAACAGAGCCAGUCUAGAUGUCUCCCCCUGUUUCCUGUCUUUAUGCUAAGCUAAGCGAACCAGGUGCUAGUUGUAGCCAUAUUGUUAUUAAAGGAAUAGUUUGACAUUUUUGGAAAUAAGAUAAUUUGCUUUUUUGCCAAGAGUUGGCAAAUGAGACGACUGCUACCACUUUUAUGUUUGAAUGUUAAUAUGAAGCUACGGCUAACGUUUGGUUUAGCUUAUCUUAGCAUUAUGUCUGGAACCAUGGGGAUACAUCUAGCCUGGCUCCUGUCAAUCAAAGCUGCCUACCAGCACUUCUGAAGCUCACUAAUGAACAUCUGUUUUGUUUGAUCCAUGCAAAAACCAGAGUGUAAAAACAGCAAUUUGCUGUUUGAUGGUGGGGUUAAUGCGGAACUGUUUCAUGCCUGGCCCCCUAGCAGAGUAACGGGUCCAGGCAAUGAAACAGUCCGGCACACAACCUCGUAAAAUAGUGAAUUGUAAUUUCUACACUUUUGGUUUUUGUGUGGAUCAAACAAGGCACACAGUAAGAUGUUUAGUUUUGUGAACUUUAGAGGUUCUGGUAGGCAGGUUUGUUACGUCUGAACAGAGCCAGUCUAGAUGUUUCCCCCUGUUUCCUGUCUUUAUGCUAAGCUAAGCGAACCAGCUGCUAGUUGUAGCCAUAUUGUUACCAUUCAGAUACGAGUGGUCAUAAUCUUCUCAUUUAACUCUCGGCAAGAAUUUAUAAAUGCCAAACUAUUCUACCAUGUUUUGGUAGGUCAGACAUACAAUAUAUAUAUAUUUUUUUUUUGAUUAGAACUAAAUCUGAAAUCAUGAUGAAUACAAACUCUUCUCUUCAGAUCGAAUUUGCAAAAUAUGCCCUAGUACUAAAUCUGCUAUUUCUUGUUACUGUAGCAAUUGUAUUAGCGUAGCAAAAAUGACUUUGACUCGAACAUAUUUGAACUUUUGAAAACAACUUAAAGUAUUGUUAUGCUUUUGUAAUUUAAUUUGUAAUAAAUUCAAACCACGCUAAUUCUCUGAAAUGCAAUAAAGCAUCACUGAACAACCAA